CAUGUUUAAGCGGGACGGGAGAAAGCCCAAGCCGCUGUACAAGUUGGGUUGAGAAAGAGAGCAGCGUAUAUUCGAGAAUAGACCGAACGGACAGAAGUGUGUUCGGCCAGUAUGAAUGGGGACACACCGAUCGUGGCGCCGCGCCGCGACAGAAGUGGCGACGGAGUGGCGACCAUCAAACAUGGCGUUAAAAAGGAGGCGCCAUAUUGGCCCUGUACUGGAAGAAGGAUCGAUGCGUCCCCCGAGAGUUUAUACAAGCGUUAACUGGAUCAAAAACUUAAUGAGUAGUAUUUCAAAUCAUGUACAUUUCUCGAAGGACAGCCACAUCAGUCGGGUAAUGUAUGUUUUUACGUUCUUACACUGCGGGUAAGUAGAAUUGUUAGCGGUUUAUGUGAGAUGUACAUUUUGUUACAAAGCAAAAUGAUUCUUUGGAUACUGGUCAAUUAUAAUUCGACAAUUAUCAACAUGUUGAUCAAGUGCGUUCGAAAAUUGUAAGUAUUGUAACAAUAUAGUACUGUUUAAAUUUCUUCGUCUUCCUCUUCCGGCCAUUCAGAGUAAUGUCUGAAAUGCUUUGCGUUGAAUAGUACAUGGGCGUUUUAAAUCAACGAUAUCUCUAGAUUAACUUGUAAUGUUUAAAAGUGAAAUUAAAACAAGAAUUCAUAUGAUAUACAGUUUUUUACUUUGCAUUCCUGUGGGUCUGCUAAUAACAUUUUGUUGUCUAAUGUUCACGUUAAAAUGACAUUUCAUGUGUUUUUAUGGUAUUCUUUUAUUCUUACAGAUAGACAUCUUUCUUGCAAGGAUAAAAAAUUCACUACUUCAGUGUCAAAGGAGAUCGUUGGACGGUAACACCAAGUGUAUUGAGCCUACAUGUACUGCUUUGGAUUGGUAGGAGCUAGUAAAAGAAAUCACAGGGAAUUCAUCGGAAAUUCAAGAAAAAAAAUGUGCUUGCAAUAAGAAAGAUGGGCAUUAGAGUUGAGGACAUUAGAAUCGAGGGAAAUCUCCAUUCUUAUUCUUUCGUGAUGUAUGGUGGGAAAUUUUCCAAUUUUGUAUGUACAAAACUAUUUUGAACUAUUAAUAAAGGUAACUAGAUUGGUAUAAGCAGUUGUAAUAUAAAUGUAUCGUAAUGUUAUCGUCAUUCUUUAAAAAACUAUUGAAUGAAAAAAAAAACAGCAGAAUGUAUUGUUUACAUAUAUUAUGAACCUAUAUCGUAUUUAUUCUAAUAACGAUGAUGAUUGGUCAAAUCAAUGGCAGUUAGUUUGAUAAUAAUGUGGACAAAUUUGACAAAGCAAAUCAUAGACGGCUUCCAUUUUUAAGAAGUGGAGAUCAGCAGGAACGGCAUUAUGAUACUAAAACUGGCAACGCUGUCGAUUCCUCGUUCUCCAGAGAAACCAUGACUGUGUCUAUUAUAUAGGGUAUAGAGCUCCCUUGUAUACACACUUGUUAUCAAAAUGAAAAGUAAUCUUGAAAGUAUAGGCUUGAAUGUUAGUAUGGAUCAUUAUACACACAACUAACAUAAUGAACUACCGAGUUGUCUCCGGUGCCCUCGUAGUCUCACGACAAAGAUGUAGGCCUCAUUUCAUUUACUUAAUAUGUUUAUUAUUAAUAUUUACAUUGUUACAGCAUGUUAUUUUAUCAAUCAGCUCUGUGUCCAUUACAGUUUAAUUUAAAUGGUAAAUUCCUU